CCUACGGGGGGCAGCAGUGAGGAAUAUUGGUCAAUGGGCGCGAGCCUGAACCAGCCAAGUAGCGUGAAGGAUGACUGCCCUACGGGUUGUAAACUUCUUUUGUAAAGGAAUAAAGUGAGGCACGUGUGCCUUUUUGUAUGUACUUUAUGAAUAAGGAUCGGCUAACUCCGUGCCAGCAGCCGCGGUAAUACGGAGGAUGCGAGCGUUAUCCGGAUUUAUUGGGUGUAAAGGGGGCGGAGGGGGGUUGUUAAGUCAGGUGUGAAAGUUUGCGGGUUAACCGUAAAAUUGCAAUUGAUACUGGCAGCCUUGAGUGCAGGUGAGGUAGGCGGAAUGCGUGGUGUAGCGGUGAAAUGCAUAGAUAUCACGAAGAACUCCGAUUGCGAAGGCAGCAUACUGACGUGCCACUGACGUUGAUGCUCGAAAGUGUGGGGAUCGAACAGGAUUAGAUACCCGAGUAGUC
rnacentral:rRNA from 1 species